GGCGGGGCCUGAAGUCCGGCGCCGGCGGGCGCGCGCGCUGUGUGUGUGUGUGUGUGUGUGUGUGUCGCUUGCGAAGCGCAGCGGGGGCACCGGCUCAGCCCGCAUCGCCCCUCGGCCUGGGUUGCCGAGGCCUGGCCCCUCGAGUCGGCCCCGGGACCCGCGGGCCGGGGGGCGGAGCUGCCUUGCUCCUGGAUCGUGCCGACCGGGGACUCGGACCCCCAGCAGCGCCGUCGGUGGCGACGGGCCCGCUCCGCCGGGAGGGAGGGCGGUCUCCGGGGCUGCACAUAGGAGCUCAAGGGGUCUGAGCGAACUGUGAACGCCGCGCCAGGGCUGGACAGCCCGGACCUGGGACACCUACCUGAUGCGGCGUUCCAAGGGGCUUCACUCUGAACGUGAGACACUUCGAUGCUGCAAGCUCUUAUUACAUCUUUACUUUAAAAGAUUGCCUUCUCCUCCCUCCAGAUGCACUUUCAUCGUUAUUUUUGCGUGGCCUCUGGGCCAACGUCCCUCCUUCCUUUAAUUUCUCUUUCUUCCAGAACAUUCCAUCCCCUUCAGCCUCUUCCUCCAUUAAGCUAAGAACGGAAUGACGGAAUGUUCCUGAAUUUUUAGACUCACCCGUGUUUUCUUCCAAGCCCUGCAAACCCCUCAGGUUAUCUCUACCUUGACUUUGGUCGCCUUCUACGUGUAAUGCUACAGUGAUGUGCAUACAGGUCACCUGCCUUUCGCUGAAUACUCUUCCUCUCCACUUUUCCUUACCAUCCAGCACAUCCAUUGUCAUUCACGGAAAUGUCUGCUGUUCCUCAGCGUUGAAGCACAGCCUCUGCACCGCAGUGUGCUUUGCUUUCAAUAACAAUGGCUCUUCGAAAAUCGUGACUCACAAACACAUUCUGUUACCUGAUGAUCACAAACAUCGUGCUUAUUCUUCCCUGAA